AUGCCGCCGCCAUCUCCUACAUCCACUGGCUGCCACCUUCGCCUGCUCCUCCCUCCCCCACAUCUCCCUCCCUCCCACGCAGCCGCCUCCCUCCCUCGCUCGCCCCUCAUCUGUAGACAGCGACGGCGGCUCCCGUGCCCACGUUCUUCCUCCCACGGUCCCACCAACCACCAACUCCUCCCCAUCGCCAUGGACGAGCUUGAGCUCCAGGUGCUCCUUCUCUACCUAGAAGCCCAAGGGUGUUCAAGGCGACAAGGGGAUCAACCUCAACCUGCCAACCCUAGCUGCCCCCAUGCCACCGCCGGCUCCUUCUCCCGGCCUGCCGGAUCCCGCCGUCCGCAUCCCCGGCGUUGUCGCCGUAGCCGUCAUCCUCGGGAGCACAAGUCGAGGUGCGCCGCCUUCGAUUCUGCAGUGUGCCUGAUGGCUGCUUCUGCAGUAGCAGCGGCGGCAAGCCUUGGAAUGGCUCGGGACACCAGAAGCGGGCAACGAAGGCCAUUGCCAGGUGUAAAGGAAGUGGAGUGUGAACCCAGUGUUUCUUUUGACUACUCCAAGUCUGAAAUGAAUUCUAUGGAGAGGAAAAUGUUGAACCGGGUGCUUGAAGUAAAGGAGGAGCAUCCUAAGAAGCAGUGCAUUCGUGCUCUUAGUUUAGCAAUGCUUCAUUUUCUACUAUUGGUGUUUCGGUCCAGUUCAGGUCCCAUUGAAGAAAUAACCUCCCUUUUGGGUUUCCUGCAUAUGGUUAAUCUUGUUGUAAAUCUGCACAUGCCAUUUUACUUCAGGUUUGAGAAAAAGAUCAGAGUUUCAUCUGUUGUGAAAGUGGAAGCUCCAGAAAAUUGGGAAGCAGUUCUUGGAGGUAUUAAAAACAUUAGGUUAUCUGGCCAAGCCCCCGUAGAUACAAAGGGCCGUGAGAAGGCUGGUUCUCUUCUUCCACCCAAGCUAGGAAGAAAAUGCAGCCUGUACAUGGGUUCAUGGCUAAUGGAUUGCAGAUUGGCCAUGGAUUUGGGCCUACUAAUCCACUAA
rnacentral:rRNA from 1 species